GGAAUCCCCAAAUCAAUAUAUUAAUAGAACCAGAAGAUGACUUUAUCAGCUAUAAAAACUUUGAGGACUUCAAGAUUACUAUAAGAGCUGGACAUUAUCUUAAUAAUUAUAUUCCCGAAGCUGAUGUGUUUGUCUUCUUUGGAAUAAGAGAAAAUUUAGAUGAAAAUGUAGAAGAUAUGAUGCUUGCAGAAACACAAAGAGCAAAGCUUAUUGAUGGAGU